AACAGGAUUAGAUACCCUGGUAGUCCACGCCGUAAACGAUGCUAACUCGUUUUUGGGCUUUUAAGGUUCAGAGACUAAGCGAAAGUGAUAAGUUAGCCACCUGGGGAGUACGUUCGCAAGAAUGAAACUCAAAGGAAUUGACGGGGGCCCGCACAAGCGGUGGAUUAUGUGGUUUAAUUCGAUGAUACGCGAGGAACCUUACCAAGGCUUAAAUGGGAAUUGACCGGUUUAGAAAUAGACCUUCCUUCGGGCAAUUUUCAAGGUGCUGCAUGGUUGUCGUCAGCUCGUGCCGUGAGGUGUUAGGUUAAGUCCUGCAACGAGCGCAACCCCUGUUACUAGUUGCUACCAUUAAGUUGAGGACUCUAGUAAGACUGCCUACGCAAGUAGAGAGGAAGGUGGGGAUGACGUCAAAUCAUCACGGCCCUUACGCCUUGGGCCACACACGUAAUACAAUGGCCGGUACAGAGGGCAGCUACCUAGCGAUAGGAUGCGAAUCUCGAAAGCCGGUCUCAGUUCGGAUUGGAGUCUGCAACUCGACUCUAUGAAGCUGGAAUCGCUAGUAAUCGCGCAUCAGCCAUGGCGCGGUGAAUACGUUCCCGGGCCUUGUACACACCGCCCGUCAAGCCAUGGAAGUCUGGGGUACCUGAAGUCGGUGACCGUAAAAGGAGCUGCCUAGGGUAAAACAGGUAACUAGGGCUAAGUCGUAACAAGGUA
rnacentral:rRNA from 1 species